UUUACGGAGCCCCAGAAUCAGAAUCAGAAUCAGAAAAACAGAAAGAGAAACAGGAGCCCCGCCUCGGCCAAAGUUGAACCUGCCAUCGUCAGUUUAGCACGUGCGCCAAUUAGGCGCUCAAAUUACAUCAAAAUAUUGCCAGCAAAGAGUGGCUUGGGGGGGCCAAAUGAGCAGUCUAAGGCCCAUGGCCCCAUUCCCCAUGCCCCAUCCACGAAUGCCCCCUUUUCGAACUGAACUGUUCGAAGGCAGACGCUUACAAGCCAUUACGUAAGGCGCGCCGUCUCUUUCCACGCAAGCUCCGUCUCUUUCUCUUUCUGUUUCUGUUUCUUUCGUCCGUGUUGUGAUAAACUUAUUCUUGUUAAAUAUUUAAUUAAAAUGCUUAUUAUCUCGCACUGCAUUUUAAUGAGUCUCCCAUGCCAGGGCAACGAAACGAGACAGCCAAAGACAACAAACCAGCUCACAGAUUUUGGGCUGUGGUGGCCCCCCUUUCAAUCCGCUCCCUGCAACCCCCUGCCACACCCUGCCACGCCCUGCAACCCCGCGCAACCCCCUUGCAACACCGCCUGUGUGCACGUUUAUGUUUAUUUGAGUUUUGCCACUUGGCAGCAACGCUUAACGACGCCUCGUCUCCUCGCUGCGAAACUCACAACUUCUUUCAGCCCGGCCCAGACACAUGCUCGUAUUUGUCUUGCUCUUUUAAGCCCUCCACUGCUGCCACCACCCACCAUCGACCACCCACCAUUCACCGCCCAGAAACCGACGUAAGCCGCCCAAUCUGCACCACCACCCCACUCCCCACUCAAUCCGAGCCCAACUAGAACCGCAAGCACAGACAUGUGGCCCAGAAACCAGGAGCACCAGCCCAGCACCAGGCCCAGUUAACAUGGCCAGGUCCAAAUGGUCAGCUGGCGUGGGGUUAAACAACCCAUCUGGCAUACAAAUAUGCUUCGAAUUUGGGAGUGUUAUGGUCAAUGAUGGAAAAGAAGCAUAGCAAUGAUUAGUAAAUAUGAUUUAUUAAUAAAUAA
rnacentral:sRNA from 1 species